GUUUCUUGAUAUAAAGAAAAGGAAUUGAAGGAUGAGAAUUGAGAAUUGUGGGGCUUGUCUAAAUUUCCUGCUUAAUUUACAGGCAACUUACAAGAAGGUUCUUGUAAACCACACCAUACGAAUUGACUUCAUAAUUGAUAAGUCUUAUGUUAGAUCGUAGGAAGCAAGUAUACGUAGGAAUUUUCCUUGUCACUCUCCAGCUGGCC
rnacentral:misc_RNA from 1 species